rnacentral:rRNA from 1 species
UGGGGAAUAUUGGACAAUGUGCGAAAGCCUGAUCCAGCCAUGCCGCGUGUGUGAAGCAGGUCUUCGGAUUGUAAAGCACUUUAAGUUGGGAGGAAGGGCAGUAAGCGAAUACCUUGCUGUCUUGACGUUACCGUCAGAAUAAGCACCUGCUAACUCUGUUCCAGCAGCCGCGGUAAUACAGAGGGUUCAAGCGUUAAUCGGACUUACUGGGCGUAAAGCGCGCGUAGGUGGCUCGUUAAGUUGAGUGUGAAAGCCCCGGGCUCAACCUGGGAACGGCAUCCAAAACGGGCAAGCUAGAGUAAAGCAGAGGGUAGUGGAAAUUCAUGUGUAGCGGUGAAAUGCGUAGAUAUAGGAAGGAACAACAGAGGAGAAGGCGAGCACCUGGGCUCAUACUGACGCUAAAGUGCGAAAGCGUGGGGAGCAAACAGG